rnacentral:tRNA from 1 species
ACGGGUGUAGUGUCCAACGGCCAGCACGAUUGGCUUCCAACCAAUUAGUCUCGGUUCGGAUCCGAGUACCCGUAC